GUCUCGUUUCAGGUACAUAUAUUAAAUAUGGAACGAUAUGAAGAUGAUUAGUAUAGUCCCUGGAUCACGAUGAUACAUAAAUUCGUGUAGCAUCUCAGAAGGUU
rnacentral:snRNA from 1 species